CGCCCGCACACGAGAGCUAUCUCCUUACGCCAACAGUCACGAAUGACAUUUUGCUAAGCACAUAGCUCUAGUGUGCGCCGGCCUAACAUGUUUGAUAAUUUCUGCCUCGCGUGCCAAAAUCUUUCCGUGUGCGGCGAACGAAGCUAUCUGCUUACGGAUUGUCGUAACAGCGCAUGCGUAGUAUACGAAAGUAAACAUCCAAGAUGGCGGCGCAAAAUAAAUUGCUGGCUGAGGCAAUUUUAGAAGACAAACUUGUCGUGAUAACCAGAUGAUCUUGAUACGCGGAAAAGUACUGGCACUAGUUGUCAAAUAGAAAUCCAUUUUAUGAUUAAAACAACUGAAUAUCUCCUGUAAUAUACUUUAUUUCGAUUCCAUAUUUUUGUCAGAGCUAGAGUUCUCA